GAACUAGGGUCAAGGAGAACAAGUUCAUCUCCAUCCUAGAAAUUUAUACGAUUUAAUUAGUUAAGGUGAUUUAGGCUAAACUUUAUUCAGGCUAGGCUCUUGGGCUGAGAGAGAGUGUGAUGUCCUGGAAAACCUUUAGCCUCUUUUCUAUCUUCGUCUGAAAGAUACUGGUGUUGACAGUUUCAACCGGCUUCCCUGCUUCAUUUGUUGGAUCCAAAACUGCUGCAAGAAUAGCCUCCUCAAAGUCCUUGUUGUCUGGCAACAACUCAGACAAUCUCUCCUCUGUUUCGUCAGAUAGCCUUCUUGACUUGGUUUCU
rnacentral:misc_RNA from 1 species